rnacentral:lncRNA from 1 species
CUCCGACGAGGAUCUCAAGUCCUUCGAUGCUGACUUCGUCAAAGUCGACCAGGGCACUCUUUUCGACCUCAUCCUGGUCUGAUAGUCCUUAAUCUCCUUUUCUAUUACAUGUCUGCCCUUUGUGUCCUUGCCUCUGUUGGAUUUUUAGGUUUUGACCGUGUUUUUGUGGUGUACUCGCCUGAUCUCUUUGCUUCUGUUUUUUUAUUUUGUUGCAAAUCACUUCUGAUGGAGAAUUAAUGUGUGGUUUUGUUGAUUGCUGAUGUGUUACUGUGAUUUUUCCUUAGUACUUUGGGUCUAGGGUUUGCAUCUCUCGGCUUUAGGUGAACUGUGGUUACUGUUUAUUGUAUCUAACACUGGACCAGAAUUAUGCAAUUUUUUUUUAAUUUUUUCUUUUCAUUUCCUCAUGUCCUGUCUAUUCCCCUUUCUGGAAAAAUAUUUAGCCCCCCUCCCCCUUUCUGGAAAAGUAUUUAGCUCCUCGCCCUCUUUUCUGGAAAAGUAUUUAGUCCUAUUUCGGCCAUCUUGUUGAUCAUCUUUCUUUGGCUGACCAAGUAUUGUUGUUUUGGGUAUGCAUAUGCUAUUCAAGGUGUGGCUCCUUGGUUUAAGAGCAGGAUUGUGGGUGAUUAGGUGCUUCUAUGUUGACUUUCGUUUUGCUGUUUCUGUUGUUUGUUUAGUCAUAGGUUAUCAGCUGUUUACUCAGACUACUGAGAUGUUUUUGGAUUUAUCUGUGUUUGGUUGUGGUUCAAUCUUUUGAACAUCUAGAAUGUAGCAGGCUAGCAGCAGGGGUAUUAGCUUUAUUUUGCACGGUUUAUCGGGUGAAUGUGGUUUGAAGACUCUGAUCGGUCAUGGAGUAAAGAUAAAGAAAGGCCUUUAGGAGUUCAGUUGGGAUGGUUUGUGGUUUUAGACCGUUUGUAUAUUCAUGUGCUGGGAUGUCUUUAUACAUUAUUUUAAUUUAUACAUUUGGGAUGGACGUAGGAUCAUUUGAUUGUCUGCUUGUUACCAAAAUUUCUCGUUUGACUUUUACUUCCCCCCCCCCCCCCCACCAACAAUCUUUUUCCCCUUUUCAGGCUGCCAACUAUCUCAACAUCAAGAGCCUGCUCGACCUCACUUGCCAAACGGUGGCAGACAUGAUCAAGGGCAAGACGCCAGAGGAGAUCCGCAAGACUUUCAACAUCAAGAAUGAUUUCACUCCUGAGGAAGAAGAGGAGGUUCGCAGGGAGAAUGCUUGGGCAUUUGAGUGAAGUGGAAGUUUGAAAUGUCAAUAUUAUGGGUCUUUUGUUUUGAAUGCUAUUAUGGAUUUCUUGACACUAGUAGUAAAUAUUUUGUCAUCCUAUUACUUUAAUGAUGGUUGG